rnacentral:rRNA from 1 species
UAGGGAAUCUUCGGCAAUGGACGAAAGUCUGACCGAGCAACGCCGCGUGAGUGAAGAAGGUUUCGGAUCGUAAAACUCUGUUGGUAGAGAAGAACGUUGGUGAGAGUGGAAAGCUCAUCAAGUGACGGUAACUACCCAGAAAGGGACGGCUAACUACGUGACAG